rnacentral:rRNA from 1 species
GCCUACGGGAGGCAGCAGUGAGGAAUAUUGGUCAAUGGCCGAGAGGCUGAACCAGCCAAGUCGCGUGAGGGAUGACGGCCCUACGGGUUGUAAACCUCUUUUGUCAGGGAGCAACGCCGGCUACGUGUAGCCGGACUGAGAGUACCUGAAGAAAAAGCAUCGGCUAACUCCGUGCCAGCAGCCGCGGUAAUACGGAGGAUGCGAGCGUUAUCCGGAUUUAUUGGGUUUAAAGGGUGCGUAGGCGGUCCGUUAAGUCAGCGGUAAAAUUGCGGGGCUCAACCCCGUCGAGCCGUUGAAACUGGCAG